rnacentral:rRNA from 1 species
UAAGACGGAGGGUGCUAGCGUUGUUCGGAAUCACUGGGCGUAAAGGGCGCGUAGGCGGCUUGGCCAGUCAGAUGUGAAAGCCCGGGGCUCAACUCCGGAAUUGCAUUUGAUACUGCCAGGCUGGAGGUCGGAAGAGGAGGGUGGAAUAUCCAGUGUAGAGGUGAAAUUCGUAGAUAUUGGAUGGAACACCGGUGGCGAAAGCGGCUCUCUGGUCCGAACCUGACGCUGAGGCGCGAAAGCGUGGGGAGCAAACAGGAUUAGAUACCCUGGUAGUCCACGCCCUAAACGAUGUGAGCUAGACGUUGGGGGGCUUGCCCUUCAGUGUCGGAGCUAACGUGUUAAGCUCACCGCCUGGGGAGUACGGCCGCAAGGUUA